GAUGAACGCUGGCGGCGUGCCUAAUACAUGCAAGUCGAGCGAACAGACGAGGAGCUUGCUCCUCUGACGUUAGCGGCGGACGGGUGAGUAACACGUGGAUAACCUACCUAUAAGACUGGGAUAACUUCGGGAAACCGGAGCUAAUACCGGAUAAUAUAUUGAACCGCAUGGUUCAAUAGUGAAAGACGGUUUUGCUGUCACUUAUAGAUGGAUCCGCGCCGCAUUAGCUAGUUGGUAAGGAACGGCUUACCAAGGCAACGAUGCGUAGCCGACCUGAGAGGGUGAUCGGCCACACUGGAACUGAGACACGGUCCAGACUCCUACGGGAGGCAGCAGUAGGGAAUCUUCCGCAAUGGGCGAAAGCCUGACGGAGCAACGCCGCGUGAGUGAUGAAGGUCUUCGGAUCGUAAAACUCUGUUAUUAGGGAAGAACAAAUGUGUAAGUAACUAUGGACGUCUUGACGGUACCUAAUCAGAAAGCCACGGCUAACUACGUG
rnacentral:rRNA from 1 species